rnacentral:rRNA from 1 species
UACAGAGGUCUCAAGCGUUGUUCGGAUUCAUUGGGCGUAAAGGGUGCGUAGGCGGCGGGGCAAGUCAGGUGUGAAAUCCCGGGGCUCAACCCUGGAACUGCACUUGAUACUGCCUUGCUAGAGUACUGGAGAGGAGACUGGAAUUUACGGUGUAGCAGUGAAAUGCGUAGAUAUCGUAAGGAAGACCAGUGGCGAAGGCGGCAUCCUGGACCGACAUUGACGCUGAGGCGCGAAAGCCAGGGGAGCAAACGGG